rnacentral:rRNA from 1 species
GACGAACGCUGGCGGCGUGCUUAACACAUGCAAGUCGAACGGAAAGGCCCUGCUUUUGUGGGGUGCUCGAGUGGCGAACGGGGGAGUAUCACGUGUGUAUCCUGCCCUUGUCUUUGGGAUAACUUCACGAAACUGGGGCUAAUAUCGGAUAGGAUCUCCUGCUGCAUGGGGGGGGUUGGAAAGUUUCGGCGGUAGGGGAUGGACUCGCGGCUUACGGGCUAGUUGGUGGGGUAGUGGAUUACCAAGGCUUAGACGGAUAGCCGGCCUGAGAGGGGGGCCGGCCACAAUACGACUAAGAGACGCAGCAGACGCCAACGGUAGGCAACAGGGGGAAAUCUGACACAAUGGGCGGGAGCCUGAGACAACAACGCCGCGUUCGUAAAGACGUCCUUCGGGGUAAGAACAGCUUUCGCCUGAGACGAAGCGGGAGUGACGGUAAUGAAUAAAGAAGCACCGGCUAACUACGUG